rnacentral:rRNA from 1 species
AUUGAACGCUGGCGGAAUGCUUUACACAUGCAAGUCGAACGGUAGAGGGGGCGACCCCUCGAGAGUGGCGAACGGGUGAGUAAUAUAUCGGAACGUGCCCAGUCGGGGGGUGUCACGUAGCGAAAGUUACCCUAAUACCGCAUACGAGCUAAGGAUGAAAGCGGGGGAUCGCAAGACCUCGCGCGAUUGGAGCGGCCGAUAUCAGAUUAGGUAGUUGGUGGGGUAAAGGCUCACCCAGCCAACGAUCUGUAGCUGGUCUGAGAGGACGACCAGCCACACUGGAACUGAGACCCGGUCCAGACUCCUACGGGAGGCAGCAGUGGGGAAUUUUGGACAAUGGACGCAAGUCUGAUCCAGCCAUUCCGCGUGCAGGAUGAAGGCCCUCGGGUUGUAAACUGCUUUUGUACGGAACGAAAAGGUCUCUCUUAAUACGGGGGACUCAUGACGGUACCGUAAGAAUAAGCACCGGCUAACUACGUGCCAGCAGCCGCGGUAAGAC